AUUAUAAAUGUUAAUAAGGGAGAUGGGGAAAGGAGAGGACGGACGCUAUUAAGGAUUGGGGUGAUGGGGAAGGGAAGGCGAGCGAUAGAAAUGAUAGAAAGAGGCAAGAAUUGCGUAAAGCGGGGAUAGUCACCACCAGGAUCCGGCAGCAGUCCCGUUGCACGACGUUCCGACGGUCCGAGGCCGAAGGGCAGGAGCAGCGAGGCCGGUCUUGGGCAACGAGAGGGUGCAGGUCGGGGAGGAAGCAGCAGGUCUCAGGUAGCAGGCCCAGGGAAGUCCGUCAGCAAACGGUCCGUAGAGGAGGAUCGGAAGGCAGGAAGCUCGUGUCGUGGUGAGAGAUCAGUCUCCACGUAGAGAUCCGUCUACACGUUGCGGUGAGAGAUCAUUGGCAGAGAACCCCUCAAGUCUGUCGUGGUGAGAGAUAAGCCUCUCCCGUUGCCGUGGUUGUGGUGAAGGAUCAGCUUUCACCGUUGUGGUUAUUGGACCCUCUUUUAUCCUCCAUUUUCUGCUGCCUACGUGACAUUCCUGGGGGCUUGAGCAAGAGUCCGGUGCAUACCUCCUGAGAUGGCCAUUUUCCUUGAGAUAAGUCCACAUAAAAAGACCGUUUCCCGGCCAUUAGCGGCAGCUUAUCUCUCUCUCGAUGCCCCUGGCCUUGUCCAUCUGUGCUCCUUAGAGGAUUUCACAAUCCUUAGCCAGGACCUGUCCAUCAGUGUCCUCAAGACAAAAGAUUUCUCUGCCUUUGCCCAGGACUUGCCUGGACUUGUUCCUCAGCAAACUUUGAGUCAAUGAUAUAAAAGAAUAGUCUCUUACACCACCCCGUGACUCAAAGGUUGCUUAAAAAUUGGACACUGGGCAUCCAUGGUGGUGAGAGAAGAUAGCAAGCACAAGGGUAAAGGAGGGAGGGGUUGUGGAAUCAAAUGUUUCAUACAAUCAUUACAAACAUUUUUCAGGUUUGGUUACAAAGUAAAUAGGGGAUACAACAUCUUGUAUAAAACAUGGAAUCAUACAAACAUAAGAGUUGCAACAGUACACAAUGCAACUUGCCAUAGACACCACCCCGUGAUUCUUCAGGAGUGGUAACAUGAAUAUUACAUAAUGAAUAGAAGAGAGAAAAGAGACAACCGUACAUUUGACAAUAACCACUAAUAAUAAAUAAACAAUUAACAGAUUGUUUCCUUUAGUCGUGAGCUUCCUAAUAAACAUCCACCCUUCACCCCCCCACCCACCUCCCGCUCACCUGGGAGGGGGGGGCGAAGGCAUCAGCUCCCCUUGAGCUUUUGUUCUGGCCAGCAGUUAACUAAUUUCUCUAAUCUGACUGUGGGUAAUCCAUUCAUCAAAUCUCGUGGAAUACCCUUUGUCCAGCCCAGAGUCCAAAGUCCAUUGCGUUUAUGAUCAAUGCAUCGUGUCCCCGUUUUUACUGGGGAUGAAACCUUUUUGGUUCCAAUAAGUCUUGGGCUAGGAGGCCUGGAGGCAAGGCUGGCUACUGCAAGCCUUACUCCUCUUGGCUCAAAUUUACUGGAGGUAGAAACCACCGGCCCAUAUUUUCUUCCAUAGUUAAUUAAUUCUUGGGCAACCUCUCCCCAAGUCCACACUUUGGAUCCUGACUGGUGGUUAGGGGCUACAGAUCCCUCCAACGCUGCCCAGGUUCUCUCUCCCUCAGACAUGGCUUGUAUCUUUCCUUGGAGUUGUAUACCUAUAGGUUUUAACGAUUCAGGAAGUCCCCUGAUUAGAGGUGUCAAUCUUUCCGGAUUAACAGGUAACAUCAUGGGUGAUUCAUGAUGUGGCUGCAACUUUCUAUCAUACAUCAUUUGGAGACAAGCAGCUUUCUGAACGUUCUCCACUAACUGGUCGAUUGUUCCGGUAAUAGCAAGAGGGUCCCCCCUUUCUAAAGGGUUGAGACCCCCUGCCCAAUAGGCAGCCCUCUGUGUUAAGGACCAGGGAGCACGAUUAUUGCCAGUGGUUAAAAAUACUCCUGGUCCCCAGUAACCUUCAGCUUCUUUCUCUGUUAGUAGGAUCUGGUCUCCGCCAGUGAGACUAACUCUCCAGACGUACUCUGUUUCAGACUCCUUUGGGGAGCGACUGAAAUCCUUUUUCAGUUUGGCCAGUUCAGUGGCCGAAAAGGGAAUUUCCUUAACAUUCAUUUGAGGAUCUAGAUCCUCACUGUUAUCGAAAGUAUAUUCAGUUUUUAUCAAAGGACGAAUGUGGGCUGGAGAGGCCUCUAAUUUAUCUAGCCUUUCCUUCACCUCUUGUAAUUUCCCUUGAGGAUAAACUUUUUCUUGAGGUGCACUGUGGAUAACAGUGUCACCGGUGUCCUUACACGUUAUCAGCUCCUUAAAAGCUGUUUGCAACAGAACCGAAUUAUGUUUUUCUAAUUGAUCCUCAAGACUCGUUAUUUGGCUUUGCAGAGAUUUUACCAAUUCUUGCGUCACUUUAACCGAUUCCUGUAAUGCUUGAAUAGUCUGGGUUUCCGUAGAGUUCUUUUCCUCUCGGAACUCCACAGCUGCUUUUAAAGCAGCACCGAGUACUGCACAAAUAAAAGAUUUCCCUUUUCCGGCCCGAGUACGAGCCUCAUUUUGUAAAACACGAAUACGGUCUGAAACACUUUGCAAAUUAUACCAGUUCUGUCGUGCCCAAUCCACCCCUGAUACAGAAGGCCGAGCACCAUGCUUUUCUAAAAGAUCAAAUAAUACAGCUUCACUUUUCAUACUGGCCAUACUGUUGCUCAUUUCUAAAUACGCAGAAAGAUAUACACUGAGAGAGGAGGAGGUACUCCUAUUCAAAAGUACAAAUAACUCCUUAUCGCCUCUCCCACAGAGGCACACCACACCUAAAGAAAUGUAAAUGUUCCGAUCGUGCCUCCCUUUGUUGAGGAAAGCACAAGGACAAAGAGGCUAAACCAACUUAAAAUCGCUCCUAACUUCCCUGCGAAGCCACACAAAAAACUGCAAACACCACACCAAAGCAAGGCACACUUCGGUUUCAAAAUCCGCAGUUAAUUUUAAGCUAACACAACACUUUCUAGGUUUCAACAAAGUGAAUAAACUUCUUGGAGAGGCGCACACGUUUUUUAAGUCAAAAAACGUGUAUCACUUCCUCACUUCUCCAAGAGGCACGCACGAAAGAGGUUCAAAUUUCACACUUAAGUUGCAAGAUCCUUAAGUCACAAAAUGCAGAGUGGUCUUCCCGAGGAGGCAC
ensembl:lncRNA